UUAGCCUUCUUAAAGACAGCUCCCUCUGAGUAGAAGUCAUAUCCAUUUAGACAUAAUCAACCUGGGGUUAUAGCUGCCUGGACCUCACCACACUUCCUGAAACCUAUUCCUUACUCUUCUAGAGUAGGCAGGAUGUUUAUCGGGCCCCCCAAUACUCUUGCCAGGGCCUAUCUUCUGGAAUUGUUCCUUUUCAUUCUACCAGGAUUCUGGGCCCAAGUGCGGCUGGUGGAAACAGGUGGCAAAUUGAUCCAUGAGGGCCAAUCUGUGACCCUGACCUGUACAGCUUCAGGGCUCAGCUUUAAGGACUUUUCCAUGUCUUGGCACCGGAGUUCUGGCACUGGAGGCUCAAAGGAGUUUGUGGCUAGCAUCACGGCUGGGAGAGGCAGCACCAAGGAGUACAGGAAGGGCAUGAAGGGUAGAGUUAUCAUUUUCAGGAAAAAUGAGGCUAACACAGUCUCCUUGACUCUGCACUGGUUACAAAAGGAGGACUCUGGCAUCUACUACUGUGCCAGCCUCACCAUAUUGGGGCUAAGGCAGAGGCCCUGACAUAAACCUUCUGGUCUGGGACUGAAACUGAGGCCACAACUGCUGCUGCUUUGCGCAACCAAUUAACCCACAUGAGAGACUUUGUACCAGUCUGGCUAAUGUGUGUGUGUGUGUGUGUAUUUCAAGGAGUAAAAAGGCUUCUCUUACAGUUUUCACUGCCUUUCCACAUCCCCAGUGACUCUAGCUAUUGCCUUGUACUCAUUUCAUGCCCUGCUCAUCUAUCACUCCAUUCCUAAAGGGGAGUGGAAGGUGACCACAUUUUCUGGGGUCAAGAUCUGAGGACCAAAUGCUGGCUUAACUUGGGGUAAAUAAUGUCUACAUUCAGGUUGGAUACUGACCCAAAUCCUGUCCUGAUCUAAAGAUUUCUUCUCCACUCCCAUUAUGAGUCUAACCCUGCAAUUGGCAGAGGGACAAACAAACCUAGGCCCUGCUCUGGGGAUUGUAUAGAAAAAGCAGAACUGGUCUCUGGGGGUUGUAUAAAAAAAGCAGAACUUGUCUCUGCCCCUGGGGAACUCAAGGUCUGGAGACUUACUGAUUGGGCUUUGCCCUCAGGAAGCUUUGCUUAAAAUAACUUUGUGAGGUAGAGGGUCCAAGUCUAAGCAUUCCCAUUUCAAGGCUAUUUCCUUAAAUUCCCAUUUAAAGAUGAGGUCUAGUAAGGAGAAGAGACUUGCUUGGAGCCACAGAUCCAGUAAGCAGCAGACUGGACACUCUGAAAUGCUGCUGAGCGUCCUGACUACUGGCCCCAUACUGGGCCAGCAACUGCACCCCUCUCCCAACCCAUAUAGGCCAAUGCAUGACUAAUUUCUGGCUUAUAAGACCUCAGGGAAGUUCUGACCCACAGAGUUCCCCAAAUGUUUCACCCUGACAUACGCCAAGGGAGGAGGGGAUAGCUUUCAGAAACUUACUAAUAUCACCAAGUGCCUUUAUUGCUCUUUCUGCUCAGAACCACGAACAGCUCAACAGGCCAGCAAGUUGUGCAAGACUCACCCAGGGACUACAGAAAGCAACAAGUAGCCCACCCUCAGACCCACAAGGAGGGACACCCAUUGACAUCUGCUCCCUGCAGCCCAGUGGUUCCAGUGCACCUAAGCCCCAUCUGGCUCCUGUUCUCUUACCUACCAAAGACUCCCACAUUCUGUGUAGUCCUAAUGUGAAGACCCAGUUUUCCCAAGUUACUCAUUGUUUAGCUGUAGUGUGCGAAAGAGACAGCUGUGCUAUCCUUCAUAAGGCAGUUCACUCAGGAAAAGCUGGAUUAAUGAAGAAAGAUUGUAGUAGGGCCUUGAUGGAGGGUUAGGGGCAGGUUUAAGAGGGUACCGAGAGCAGAAAGACAGUUGUAAACAAAAGAACAGAGUCUGGGAUGAGCUCAACCUGCUCAGCCUCUCAGACUAACCUUAUUAAACCCAGGUACAGUCAACCUCUGCCCACAAAUUCAAAAUGGUUGCUUAUCACAGGAUAAGGCCCAAGCUUCUUGGUCUGCUCUUGAAAGAAAUUCCAAGAGAAAUUUCCAUUUCUUGAAAGAAAAUGAGUGUGUGGCCAUUGUUUACCCUCUAAAUUUGGUUGUCUUUCAGGGCUGUCUUUAUUUAUAACAUGGUAGUUAUUGUA